rnacentral:rRNA from 1 species
GAUGAACGCUGGCGGCGUGCUUAACACAUGCAAGUCGAACGAAGCACUUUAUUUGAUUUCCUUCGGGACUGAUUAUUUUGUGACUGAGUGGAAGAUGGGUGAGUAACGCGUGGGUAAGCUGCCUUGUACAGGGGGCUAACAGUUGGAAACGGCUGCUAAUACCGCAUAAGCGCACAGCAUCGCAUGAUGCAGUGCGAAAAACUCCGGUGGUAUAGGAUGGACCCGCGUUGGAUUAGCUAGUUGGUGAGGUAACGGCCCACCACGGCGAGGAUCCAUAGCCGAGCUGAGAGAGUGAGCGGCGACAUUGGGACUGAGACACGGCCCGAACUCCUACGGGAGGGAGCAGUGGGGAAUAUUGCACAGUGGGGGAAAGGCUGAUGCAGCGACGCCGCGUAAGCGAAGAAGUAUUUCAGUAUGUAAAGCUCUAUCAGCAGGGAAGAUAAUGACGGUACCUGACUAAGAAGCACCGGCUAAAUACGUG